rnacentral:piRNA from 1 species
AGUGAACAGGGCAACCAUGAGUCUGGAU